AUCUUAUUUGGUGGUGAUGCCCUGCUAUCUGAUUCUUUGGUGUUCUGUUUCCUAGCUCAACUAGUCUUUCCCUUAAUUUUGUGAAUUUUACUAUCGUUGCUGAAAAUUAUUGAUAACCUUCAUUGUAAUUUCUGUUUAUCUUCUCAAAAAUUAUAAUUUCUGUCUAUUUUUCUGUCAAAUCUUUUCCGCUUUUUGGUAUUAACUGUAUGAAUAGUUUGUUAUUAUUGCUGGUGUUCUUCAAUAAACUUUGUUUACUAAUUUUGUACACUUUGAUGCUAAUUGCUUAUACCAGAUAUGCAAGGAUAAAGAUGAAGCUGAAGUCUGGUUUACUGGUCUAAAAGCAUUAAUAUCACGCGGCCUUCAACAGAAGGGGAGAGCAGAAACAAAAAGUGGAGUUACCUCUGAAGCAAAUAGUCCAAGAUCACACACGCAAAGAAGUUCUCCUUUGAGCUCUUCAUUUUGUAGUGGUGAUAGUUCACAGAAGGAUGAAGUGGAACCCUUUCAUCCUCAUGCUACAGCUGAAAGCCCUCCUAAAGUCCAUUUGGAGAAGGCUUUAUCAGAUGCCAUGUUAUAUGCCCUCCCUCCGAAAGUUCCCUUUCCUUCAGAUUCUACUUCUGGCUCAUUUCAGUCUCUGUCAUCAGGAGGCUCAGAUUCUGCUUCUGGCUCAUUGAUGUUGGCCGGGCUAGUACAUGGGUAAAGAUUGUCAAUGAGUUGAUUUGAGAAAUUAGUUGAGAAAUUCGUGGCCUGGGUAAACUUGUCUUUGGCCAUCAUAACUAUAUGGUGACCAAUUAGUUGAUUUGAGAAGUAUAGGUGUGUCUGUUGUAAUUCAAGUGGAUAUUGCAAUUCUACAUGUAAAUGUUGAGAAAUUAUGUUUGUAAAAUCUCUACUGAGAUCCCAUUCAUAGAUAGAAAUGAGCUUAAUAUGACUCUGAUAGA